rnacentral:ncRNA from 2 species
GGCAGGUCCUCUCAAAAUAAUCGGGCACCUAAGUAGUUGAUACAAGGGCGAUAAUGUAAAAGAACUUUCGCAUUGUGUGACCUACUUAAAUGCUCGAUUGUUUCAAGCAACCUCUA